ensembl:piRNA 21ur-4268 ncRNA
UAGUCUAUGCUUUGUACCCAA